rnacentral:SRP_RNA from 1 species
CUUCGGGCUCCGCGCAACUCUUCCCCGCAAAUUCCGCCAGGCCCGGAAGGGAGCAACGGUAGCGGACCAGAAAAGUGUGCCGUGGAUGUCCCGAAGUUC